rnacentral:rRNA from 1 species
CCCUUAGAUGUUCUGGGCGGCCCGCGCACUACAUUGGCACUAGCAAAGAGAUCCUAGAUUGAAUUCUUUGGGGUAUUCUUCUAAAUGGUGUCGUGACUGGGAUAAACCCUUGUAAUUAUUGGUUUUGAACGAGGAAUUCCUUGUAAUCGCGGUUUAUCAGCUCGCGUUGAAUGCGUCCCUGCCCUUUGUACACACCGCCCGUCGCUCCUACCGAUGGAUCGUCCGGUGAAGCUCACGGAGUGACUGUUCACGCAACGGUUUACGAAGUGAAAUGGACCUCACGAUUUAGAGGAAGGAGAAGUCGUAACA